UCGGAGGCACCACCACUGCAACUCAAUGCCUUAAAUCAGCUCCCACAUAUCCCUCUUCUUCUCUUUGCCUCUAUCAUAUUUAUGUUUAACAUUUUCUUCAUCAUUUUUGAAUGGACCCGAGCUACCACCUUUAAUAAGGAGAAAUUGUGGGACGUCAGCAUCGAGAGGCGGGUGAUUUGAUGGCCAGUGGCGUGCAACAUUUCUAUGACGCAACAUAUCGAAUCAAUAAAAACCUCCAUUAUUUCGCUAGUAAUUAUAUGCUAAUCGUCGGCAACCGGAGGCAACGGCGACGACGAUCGAGGACUGGACACUAAUGCUGCUUCAAUGAGACGACAUUAAGGUUGUUCUUGAACAAAGGCGACGAAGUUGGGAGCGGAUCAACUUGAAUUUUUUGUUAAUAAUUUCGAAUGUAUCUCGCAGUAUUUCCAUGUAUUUCGUUAUCUUUUUUCCCCCCCAUUAUUUUUCAAUGUAUCGCUGCAUUCUAUGUAUUUCAUUGUAUUCAUUGUCUUUUUUUUCAUUGUAUUUCAAUGUAUCCCGC
rnacentral:lncRNA from 1 species